GCGCCGGUGGUGUAAAGGCGUAGAGCAUUCAUGCCCGGUCAGAGGGAGGUGCGGGUUCGAGUCCCGCCUGGCGCU
rfam:Heligmosomoides polygyrus genome assembly, scaffold: HPBE_scaffold0008173